GCCGGAUAUGCUAACUGCUUCCUUAGGUAGCUUCCUACCUUGAUGAGGAUAACCAUAGUUUUGGUUACCAUGAAGUUGGUUAGCCGAAAUUUUGGCUGCGUCCUCUGAAGGUUUUCUACCAUAGUUUUGUUGGUGCUGCGGAGGAUGGUGGUUCUGUUUCUGCUGUUGUUGUUGUUGUACAGGAAGAAUCUUAGGGUGAUCAGGAGCUUUUCUGCCAGGUUUUGG
rnacentral:misc_RNA from 1 species